UGGUUCUGGCAUCGAUGAAGAACGCAGCGAAAUGCGAUAAGUAAUGUGAAUUGCAGAAUUCAGUGAAUCAUCGAAUCUUUGAACGCACAUUGCGCCCGCCAGUACUCUGGCGGGCAUGCCUGUCCGAGCGUCAUUUCAACCCUCGAGCCCAUCUGGGAUCGGUGUUGGGGAUCGGCGCCGCCCCCGGGUGGCCGCCGUCCCUCAAAUCUAGUGGCGGUCUUCGCUGCAGCCUCCUCUGCGUAGUAGAAACACCUCGCACCGGAGCGCGGCCUGGGCUUCGCCGUAAAACAACCAACUUCAUAUCAAGGUUGACCUCGGAUCAGGUAGGAAUACCCGCUGA
rnacentral:misc_RNA from 1 species